rnacentral:rRNA from 1 species
GUGAGGAAUAUUGCGCAAUGGGCGAAAGCCUGACGCAGCGACGCCGCGUGGAGGAUGAAGGCCUUCGGGUCGUAAACUCCUGUCGAGGGGGACGAAAUGGUGCUCUGUUAAUACCAGGGCGUCUUGACGGUACCCCUGGAGGAAGCCCCGGCUAACUCCGUGCCAGCAGCCGCGGUAAUACGGAGGGGGCCAGCGUUGCUCGGAAUCACUGGGCGUAAAGGGCUCGUAGGCGGUUUGAUAAGUCCUGUGUGAAAUCCCUUGGCUUAACCAAGGAACUGCGCCGGAUACUGUCGAACUAGAGGCCGGGAGAGGGAAGCGGAAUUCCGAGUGUAGCGGUGAAAUGCGUAGAUAUUCGGAGGAACACCGGUGGCGAAGGCGGCUUCCUGGACCGGUUCUGACGCUGAGGAGCGAAAGCUAGGGUAGCAAACAGGAUUAGAUACCCUAGUAGUCC